GACGAACGCUGGCGGCGUGCUUAACACAUGCAAGUCGAACGGUGAGGCUCUGGCUUGCUGGGGUGGACGAGUGGCGAACGGGUGAGUAACACGUGAGCAACCUGCCCCUGACUCUGGGAUAAGUGCUGGAAACGGGGUCUAAUACUGGAUAGGAACCUGGCCCGCAUGGGCGUGGUUUGAAAGUUUUUUCGGUUGGGGAUGGACUCGCGGCCUAUCAGCUUGUUGGUGGGGUAGUGGCUUACCAAGGCGGUGACGGGUAACCGGCCUGAGAGGGUGACCGGGCCACUCGGGAACUGGGACACGGCCCAGACUCUAACGGGGGGCAGCGGGGGGGAUUAUGGCACAAGGGGCGAAGGCCGAAGGCGGCGAGCCCGCGGGAGGGAUGACGGCUUUCGGGUUUAAACCCCCUUCCAGCAGGGAGGAGGCUAAAGGGCCGGUACCUGUAGAAAAAGCACCGCUUAACUACGG
rnacentral:rRNA from 1 species